rnacentral:rRNA from 1 species
AAGUGUGGACGCCAGUCUGCAUGGAGCCGACCUUGAAAUACCACCCUUUAAUGUUUGAUGUUCUAACGUUGACCCGUGAUCCGGGUUGCGGACAGUGUCUGGUGGGUAGUUUGACUGGGGCGGUCUCCUCCUAAAGAGUAACGGAGGAGCACGAAGGUUGGCUAAUCCUGGUCGGACAUCAGGAGGUUAGUGCAAUGGCAUAAGCCAGCUUGACUGCGAGCGUGACGGCGCGAGCAGGUGCGAAAGCAGGUCAUAGUGAUCCGGUGGUUCUGAAUGGAAGGGCCAUCGCUCAACGGAUAAAAGGUACUCCGGGGAUAACAGGCUGAUACCGCCCAAGAGUUCAUAUCGACGGCGGUGUUUGGCACCUCGAUGUCGGCUCAUCACAUCCUGGGGCUGAAGUAGGUCCCAAGGGUAUGGCUGUUCGCCAUUUAAAGUGGUACGCGAGCUGGGUUUAGAACGUCGUGAGACAGUUCGGUCCCUAUCUGCCGUGGGCGCUGGAGAACUGAGGGGGGCUGCUCCUAGUACGAGAGGACCGGAGUGGACGCAUCACUGGUGUUCGGGUUGUCAUGCCAAUGGCACUGCCCGGUAGCUAAAUGCGGAAGAGAUAAGUGCUGAAAGCAUCUAAGCACGAAACUUGCCCCGAGAUGAGUUCUCCCUGACUCCUUGAGAGUCCUGAAGGAACGUUGAAGACGACGACGUUGAUAGGCCGGGUGUGUAAGCGCAGCGAUGCGUUGAGCUAACCGGUACUAAUGAACCGUGAGACUUAACCUUACAACGCCGAAGGUGUUU